CACAUCAAAGUUUCCUAGUCUCUUGAACUUUACAUAAAUAGAGAUAAGAAUAAAAUAGAAAGUUAUAUUCGUUCCUAAUUCCAAUUCCAAUUAGUCAGAUGAUUCCACGAAAUGAAUAUUCGCAAUAAAAUAUCUUAUCAACAGCAUAAUUUACGUUCGUUUCGUUCACGAUUUCAUAAAAACAUCAAAAAUAUGAACCUAACCUAAGUCAUAUCUAUACGUAAAGUACGUAUUUCAUCGAUUAUGAUCUUUGAAUUUUCCAUUGUCAGUCUACAGCGAGUAAUUCACGAAAGCAGAAGUAUACGUAUACGUAAUAGGUACCUACCUACAUGAACUACAUACUGUUAUCUAAGUGGAGUGGAUUAAAGUGCUCGAGAAUACGCGUUAAAGGUCUCGAAAUUGAGGUAGCCUUAUCAUAUCGAGGAUAUAUACAAUUUUCAAUAUAUUUUUGUUGUACACAGAGCCAGAGCUAUGCAGACAUCAACUCCGUUCAUAUUCUCGAUGAUUUUCAUCUCAUUAUGUAAUCACAUCUCUAAUGCAAUACCAUUGGACUCGUCUACAUCACUCGAAUCUCCGACCAAAGAUCAUCCUCACCAUCACCUCUACACCAUCUCAUUACUCAGACCAAACCAUCACUCCAAACGGAUCCGAAGAUCGCCCACAAUAACCUCAACAAUAAGCCCAGAAGUCCUCCUCCAAGCCUCUCGAAAGCUCAAAGAGGUAAUCAACUCGAACGGUGGGUUCUCCAAAGUAAACGUCGAUAUCCAAGCAGCUUACAACGUGAUGUACUCCGAAGAAGUCCAAUCAGACCCUGUGCUACGAGAAGCAGUCAAAUUCAACUCGAAAGGACACACUUGCACAGUCACCCUUUGCAACUCGAUAGGCCAAUCACAAAUCUCCUUGGGGGCAUGUACGCCACACUUCUGCCAUUGCGGAAGUGGUAAAGCGUUUGUUAAAAGUUGCGGUCAAGGAACAGUGUACGAUGCUUUUCUGCAAAAUUGCAAUUGGCCCAAUGAGGUUGAAUAUUGUACCAACUGACUCUCUCGAUGCUGAUGAUGAAAUAAAGCAGAGUUUGGAACGUAGGAGUUUAGGCAUCGUAAUCAUCGAAAAUACCUACGCGUAAGAUUAUAUUUUGACUUUUUUUUAAAGAAUAAUUUGAAUUUCUCGACGACGACUCCGUAUCCUAAUGAGAUACCUUACGUCAUACGACGUUGGCGGGAAAUCCUCUAAAAUUAUAAUCCGAGAUACCACGACGACGAUGAUUAGUCGAGUCGAUGAUGAUGAUGGUGUAUUUGGUAAUCGUACACAUAGCUCAAUUAUUAUUAUGCUACGGUACAAUUUCCAUAGCCAUAUACACGCAUUCUGGACGCCAGAGAUCAACGUACAUCUUCGAACGUGUCUUUCAAGACUCACUCGAGCUAGAGAAAGAGAAGCAUUCGCAUCCCAAAAGAUUUCGUUAUUCGUCAACGUGUACCUCUCUACCUAUACGAACGUGUGGAGUCUUUAGAGAGCAUGUUUUUUUCCCUUCUUCAUCUUCAUAAUACAUACGAAGCCUUGAAAUCCGCAUCGACCAUAUCGAAUCGAGUUGCAGAUAGGUGAUUCAUAUAAUAGUUCAUUUUAGCCGGUAUCGUUUCGGUUCUUUACACCAACUGCAGACUGUUUCAAUCAUCGGUGUACUUAGAAAAAAAUGUGAAAAAAAAUUCACUCGAAUCGAGCUGAGCAGGUGAUGAGAAUGACCAGGACAGGAACACAUACCUAGAAUACUGUAUAGGUAUCUCGUAAAGAAGACCACAUUAUAGCCACCAGUGUCAUUUUUCGAUUAAAUAUUCAAUAUCGUAUACGUUUUUAAUUCAAAUUGCACAUCAUCGCCGAGUAUUUGAAGGUAAAACUCGUACAUCGAAAUAAUUCCGCGAAAUUCAAUGUCUCAUCAUCCAGACUGUUGCAUUUUUAAAUGCAAAAAUAGUAGGUACAUAACUGAUUCAUGAAGUUGUAAGAGUAGGUGGACUAAGAGUAAGACAACCUCUCACAAUUUGUUAGUCUCCAAACCUAAAUAAAAACCUGCUCCAUUCAUCACCAUCCUGCAGUACAAAAAAUACCCAUAUAUGAAUAUUUAUCCUCGAUUUGCACUUUGCACCGAAGAAUCGACGAUAUAAAAUUUACAACAACAAAAAAUUCUCAUUUUUCAAAAUGAAAGCUUUUCAACUUUUUAAAGCUAGAAGAUGAAUUACUUUUCUGAGAUGAAUAUUGCUUUUGCUCUCGUAAAAUAUGCAAGCUUUAAUUAUAAAAAGGGUAAUCCAGAAUGUACCUACGAGACGUCGUCGAGGAUUAAAAUGUAGUAGUACGAGAAGCUUGAGUGUGAGGUCAACGGUCUGUGGUCUGUGUACGAGAAGGAGCACCUAUUUGUAGUACAUAUACUCGUUUCUAAAGGAACGAAAGCCACUCUCUUGAAGCUGGACUGGGUGCUCGUUGCUCGUUAUCUAAGUAUGAUACUUGUACUAUAGCGCGAUUAACCUAUAAACCCAAUAUUACCUGUCAAUUGUAAUUAGCUAAUUGUUCGAUAUAAAAGUGUAAGUACAGAAGAGACAGAAAGGUCUAAAGUGGAUUAGAUUGAAAGAUACUACGUCGUCGUCGUGUCGAGAGUCGAUAUGUUGUUGGUACUUGGUAAUUUGAGUACUUACGAUGUUUAUUACAGAAUAUGUGGCGAUGUUUUUAUAAAAUAUGGGGUCGAAUUAGGUACGUAUGGUCGUAAAAUUAAUUAAUUUUUACCACAAUUUUCUACGAAAUUUUCAAGUUGGAUGAUUUGAAAAAAAAACGUGGACGUGUGUUUGAAUUUUAGGUAAUACAUAUUCUACUUUUUAAAAAAAUAAGUUAUUUUUUCAGUUAUAUCACAUUAAAAUAAAUGUAACAAAUAUUAUGAACAUCAAAAAAUAAAUAUGUGUAAAAAUUGUU